rnacentral:lncRNA from 1 species
GUCAAGAACAAAGUGUGCUAAGCCAAUAUAAAAUCAUUUUACAAAAUGGUAACACAUAUUACAGGUAGGAAAGAAUCUGCAGAAGUUGGCAUUUGACAUUAUCUCAAAUACUGUAAUAAGUAAGCUAGGGGAAAAUGGUCAAAAUGAAAUCGUUGUACUGUAGGAGCAAAACUUCUUCAAUACCCAUUCUGUCAGGUGGUGUCAGGGGUUUGUAGCCAAAAUGGAAGGACAGAUCAAACAGGAUUUUGGGUGAUAUGUAUUGGGUUUUCUUCCUUUUUAGAUCCAAAAUGGCCCUGGUAACUUGAAGAAAUUGCUGGUAAACAAGAAGAGGAAGGUCAGUAGGAGCAGGUGCAAAGUACUGCCCUGAGGUAGUCAAUAAGUGGGGGCAAUCAGCGUUUGCCUGGAGGCAAUCAGUCUGCGUGUGCAGAAGGUGAUGCAGGUAUGGGGAGGGAGGCCAGUGCCAAGGGAGCAGUCUCUGGGAAAGGUCUGGGGAUUACAAAGGAGCCCAGGCUGAGCAGGAGCCAGCACCUCCAUGGGAAGAAGACAAAGCUUGCAGUCAGUGUGGGGAAGAAAGGGGCACGCAACUGGAACCAGCCAGCCACCUGCUGCUUUGUCUGAAUUGGUCAGGCCUGGGCUAGGGCUUUGCAGCUCAUUUUGGGCAGAAAGACUGAAGAAAAAUGAGGAGCACCUGGGAGGAUGAAUGUGAAGAAAUUGAGAAUGAUUUGGAGGGCUAGAAAACAUCACCUGCUGGGUUGAAAGAAAGAGGUUAGUCAGUCUAAAGCAAGGGGAUGGGAAAGGAGAAGCUGGUCAACGUGUGCAUCUCCUGAAGGAUUUUACCUCACACUGCAGAGCAUCCGCAGAAGAAAAAAGGGAGGAAGGACUGGUGGUGACCUAGUUUUCCACAUACAUGCACACAAGAUAUGUCCUGGAUACCCUCUGAGUCAUUUUGGUGGACAAUGUUCCUUAAGCUGGGACUGGCCCUGAAGUUUGAUACUCCUACUGAUGUCUGUGAGGAGAAAGCAGCAGGACAGAGCCUAUGGUGUGCUCUGGUUUUGAAGCCUGUCCUGAGAAGUUUUAUUUGGAAAUGCUGGCAGCUGUGGCCUUGCACCAGUGGAGUUGCCUGUCUGUCUGCUGCAGGCUGUGCUGCAGAAGUUGUCCAAUGCCAGCAGGAACAGCACUGGGCCUUGCUCUGCUGGAGAUGGCUGCAGCACCAGAAGGCACAAUUUUGGGAGAGGGGGAUGUGGAUGUGCUGCAGGUGACUGGGGGGCUGCCCUAGCAAAGCUGGUUUCUGCAGGAGAGAGAAACCUAGGGAAUUUUCUCUCUCUGUCUCCAAAACUGGGUUGAAGCAAGCUGUGCUUUUG